GAUGAACGCUGGCGGCGCGCCUAACACAUGCAAGUCGAACGAUUAAAGCACCUUCGGGUGUGUAUAAGUGGCGAACGGCUGAGUAACACGUGGGCAACCUGCCCCUCUCAUUGGGAUAGCCACGGGAAACCGUGGAUAAUACCGAAUACUUCGGGACUUCCGCAUGGAAGACUCGAGAAAGCUCCGGCGGAGAGGGAUGGGCCCGCGGCCUGUUAGCUUGUUGGUGGGGUAAUGGCCUACCAAGGCAAUGAUGGGUAGCUGGGUUGAGAGACCGACCAGCCAGAUUGGGACUGAGACACGGCCCAGACUCCUACGGGAGGCAGCAGUGGGGAAUCUUGCACAAUGGGCGAAAGCCUGAUGCAGCGACGCCGCGUGCGGGAUGAAGGCCUUCGGGUUGUAAACCGCUUUCAGCAGGGACGAGGCGAAAGUGACGGUACCUGCAGAAGAAGCCCCGGCUAACUACGUG
rnacentral:rRNA from 1 species